rnacentral:rRNA from 1 species
CAGCUAGUUGGUGGGGUAAGAGCCUACCAAGGCGACGAUCGGUAGCUGGUCUGAGAGGACGAUCAGCCACACUGGGAUUGAGAACGGCCCAGACUCUUACGGGGGGCAGCAGUGAGGAAUUUUCCGCAAUGGAGGAAACUCUGACGGAGCAACGCCGCGUGCAGGAGGACGCUUUUCGGAGUGUAAACUGCUUUUCUGUGGGAAGAGGAAGGACGGUACCACAGGAAGAAGCCCCGGCUAACUACGUGCCAGCAGCCGCGGUAAUACGUAGGGGGCGAGCGUUGUCCGGAGUUACUGGGCGUAAAGGGCAUGCAGGCGGUCGGACGCGUUUUGUGUGACAGCGGGUGGCUUAACUACCCGAGUAUGCGAAAGACGGUUUGACUUGAGGGCUCGAGAGGGACACGGAAUUCCGGGUGGAGUGGUGAAAUGCGUAGAGAUCCGGAGGAACACCGAAGGCGAAGGCAGUGUCCUGGCGAGUGACUGACGCUGGGGUGCGAAAGCUAGGGGAGCGAACGGGAUUAGAUACCCCGGUAGUCCUAGCCGUA